CACCGCACCUGCCCUAUGACUUCAUCAAUUUCCUGUUGGACGCGGCCUGGAGGGACAGCCUCCCCUCAGUGAAGCAGUCCCUUAGUGGCUCUUCCUCGACCUUCUACCACUGGAAAUCAAUCUGUAGAGUAAGAUAUAUCUCCAACAUGGGUCCCAGGGAUCCAGCUCAGAGAUCCAGGCUUGCUUGGUAAGUUCCUUUACCCCUUGAUCAUCUAUCUCUCUUUCCCCUGAAUGCUGUUUCUGUUCGGAGUUCACCUGGACCAGUCUCAGUUCCCAGUCUCUCCCACAAAGGACUCAUGGUCUAUCUUUACCCACCCAACACCUGCUUCUUCCUCAGUUUGAACCUGUAGGCUGUCUUGUAGCCCAGGAUGAACAAAAUGGUUAUUUUACCCGGCACAUCAAACAGUCUUGUGUAUUUUCCAAUGGACGGGGGAAGUGGCUCACCUCCAUUCUAGAGCCAUUGACCUUAGUUCACUCUUUCUCUCCUGUUAUCUGAGAUUUGCCAAGGUUAAGGCAUUUCCUCCUGCAUUUAACUAUCACACAAGGCCCUCACCCUAUUUGCCCUGAAUGAACAUUCAUUCUGAUUUUUUACAGUACAGAAGUGGCCAUGCACACUGACUGCCCUGAGCCUCAUACCUCAGCAAUGAAGCCAGUGUCCUCUCCAAAACUUUCCUGUAAGGUUUGGAGCAGCCUGUUGAGGAAAGGAUCUUCAUACUCAAAGCGCUGGGCAUAAAUGAGGGAUGAAAUCACAUUGCAUGCACCUUUAUUCAGGAGGGUGGUGGGAUUAAAUGGUUGUCCUAGGAGCAGAGAUGCAAACAAGUCAUAACGUUGUUCAUAAGUGCAUGCCCACGUCUCUACAUCUCACCCAUCACCCACCAGCCUCCUUGGUGAAGGCGUCACAGAGGUGUCCAGCCUCCUCCAUCACCCACUGCUCCAGGGAUUUCUUGCCCAGGCCGAAGUCUCGCAUGGUGGACACAGAGAAUCGCCGCUGUUCUCGCCAUUCGCGUCCAUAAGGUGCUAACACCACACCUACAGGGACAUCUGUGUGUAACCAAGGAUACGUGGCUGUGCUGUCUGCUCUGCUCCCGACAUUUCCCUGUGGUUAGUCUGAGCCAUCAGUGCCCCAGCACUUUGCUAUCACAAUCAGCACAGGCCACUUUGGAGGCUCCACCCCCCAUUGCAGUGACUUCCAUUGAAAGACAUUGCCUGAACACAGUCCCUCCGUUAGCCCUGCCCAUCUCCUCUUCACUGCCCCUCAAGUCUUAUUCUCUAUAUCUUGUCCCCACUAUAGCUAUUUGCCUUUUGAUUUGUGACCAUAGCCCAGGUGAUCAUAGACAGGAAAUGGAGGGCGGUCAGCAGUGUCCUCUCCACAGGUCACCAGCACUUCCCGCACCGCCUUUAGUCCAUUGAUUACGACCACGGGGUUCCAGGCCAGUUGCAAGCUGAACACAUCACCAUAGCGCUGUCGAAGCUGAAGUAGAGGGACAGAAUGCUUAGUAAGUGGAGGUCCCUAGCAGACUGGACAAUCCAAGCACAACACAUGUAUGUAAGUUGGUGUGUGUGUGUGUGUGUGUGUGUGUGUGUGCAAGUGUAUAAACUUGAGUUCAUUUGCAUCAUAAACAUUAUUAAGCCUUGGUCCUGCCUGCCCUAUGCCAGACAGAUGUUCUAUCACUGACCUACAGCUUUAGCCUGAGGUAUGACACCCUGUGACUAUGCACCCCAUCUUCUAAAUCUACCAAAAGUCUCACGGUAGAUAUGCUCAUUCAGUCACCUUGCCAGGGCAUGUUCCUUGACCCCCUUCCUACCCCACCAUACAUGAGGAAAGUCCAGAUGCCUGAGAUGUGGAGCAAGUCCUGAGACCACACAACAGCAGAGAUUAUAGCAGACACAGCCUCUCCCCCUGCUUUGCUUUCCUGACUGACAGGCUACACUGGAGCCUUGCUCCUCCCCUCUGUCCCUGAGACCUCAGCCACUGAUGGGAUCACAAGGAACCUAUGUCUUCCCUGACCUCUGUCCUGUCCAACCACAGUCCACGCCUGCCUCCAUGACCUUGUCCAUACUGAGCUCCUGCUCUUAGAAGUCCACAGAAAUCAAAGACCCUGAAGCAAGUGCCACAAGGCAACCACUAAGCCUCUUCCACUUGGUGGCCAUCUUCCCGUCUAUCCUGUGGCUUCAGCACCACCAUGGACUACGGGGGCACCAUGACCUCUACUGCCCUCCACUGCCAUCUCUCUUACCUUGUGUAAACUAUACGGCAUGUUCUUGAAGUCCACCUGCAGGAGGUUGCCCAACCCAGGUAGUGGCACAGGACCUGGAGGGUAGCGGGCAGUCCAGAACUUGCGUCGGUGCAUCAGGUCCACCAGGAGCAGGAAGAUGGCUGUGAAUAGGACCAUGGACCACAGGCCAUCUCCAGUCAGCAGUGCCAUGACUGCCCCUGCUUCCCAG